rnacentral:lncRNA from 1 species
AUGGUGGCCGGCGUGCGGCUCGGGGACCGAGAUGGGGAUGAAGGUGGCGGGCUCGCUGGUGUGGCGCACGUGCUUGGUGGCCGGGCGGGCCACCCUGGAGAGGCUGGGGUGCACUGGUGGAGGCUGGUUCUCCUGGUGGGACGCGCGGCUGGAGCGCUUCUUGGAGCUGCGCCGGGCACCGCGGGGGGACAGCACCUCAGCAAGCUUGGGGUCGAAGCCGUAGCCUUCGUGUCCUUGGGGACGCGCCGGCGCAGAUCUCUGCUCCGAGAGGAUGGGCUCGCUGCUGGACGGCGGGAUGCUGCCCUCCAGCUCGCUGAUGGCCUCGCCGGGACCCUCGAAGGCGCCGGCCGGCAGCUCGCCGCGCCGGCUGGGGUCGCUCAGCGACUUCUUCUUGAUGGUCUUGCCGUUGCCCUUCUCGUCGAUGACUUUGUCCAUCGCGCCGGGCUGGCUGACGAUGGUCUGGAUGAGGCUGCUGUAGUCCCGCAGCCCGUCGCUGCCCAGGGACAGGUCGCUGCCUGCGCUGCCCGCGUGGCCGGCCAGCGCGAUGGCCGCGGGCUGGGGGAUGCCCCCCUUGGCGCUCAGCGAACCCAGCAGGUUGCUGUCGACGGAGAAAUUCUUUGCCUCCUCCGCCACUGGGCAUCGCCGGUGGGGCAUGGGGUCACUCAGGGAGCGGUAGGGCUCACCGCCACCCUCCCCGAUGCCGCUGUCGGCCCCGUUGGUGCCCACCGAGGGGAAUUUCCGCCGGCGCCGCAAGCUGCUGGGGGUGCUCGGGGCCUCCAGCGGCACUUGGGCUUUGCCUGCCACAGGGACGUCUUCCAGUGCCAUGGCCUGAGCCGGGGGCAGCGGCGGCUCGGUUGCAGUCUCAGCAGCAUCAGGCAACUGCCAGGCGGCCACGGCCUCAUGCAAGUCCCCCAAGGCCACCCCAGUGGGCCCCGGCUCCGGCUCGGUGACGAUGCCCUCGUCCGUCACGCUCGACUCGUGACCCAGCAACUCCUCCACUGA